UGCUCAGGUGGGUUUGUAAGUCAGAGGUGAAAUCCCAAAGCUUAACUUUGGAGCUGCCUUUGAUACUGCAAGUCUGGAGUUUGAGAGAGGGCAAUGGAAUAUCUGGUGUAGCAGUGAAAUGCGUAGAUAUCAGAUAGAACACCAAUGGCGAAGGCAGUUGCCUGGCUCAAAACUGAGCUAAAGCAACGAAAGUGGUGGGGAGCAAACA
rnacentral:rRNA from 1 species